CAGCUGGCUCAUCACUGAGGAGUUCCCAGAUGCACCACAUUGGUGCUAAACUCAGAAAGUCCUGGGCAACCCCAAACAAGUUGGUCAUUCGGGCGGGGUUCCAGCCGCUUUUCAGGAUUCACCUUGCGGAACCCGCAGUGGUGGUCGUGUUAUCUACCCAUUGUAAAGAAGAAACGAAGGUUGGAAGAGGCUAAACAAGCUGCCCAAACUAUCCGGUUGGGGAGGGAAGAAUGGACAUUUGAAUUUAGGACUGCCGGACCCAUGCUCUUUCCCCUGGAUGCCUCUGAGGUUGAGAGAUGGGAAGCGGCCUUCACCGGUGUGAAUCUGUGAUGCCCAAACGAUGCUGCAUGGGCAGAUUGGGAAUUGUUGGUGUUGGGGAAAGGACAGCCUGGGAACCUGAGAACCCGAGAGCCGUCCCUGGCCCCCUAGAAGAGGAAGAAAUAGUUUCCAGAGAGACAAAGUGCCUCGUUUAAGGCUACCAGGAUGAAGUUUACUAAAAAGACAAUGAAGAAGAAGGUGGUAGUGAUAACGACUGCCAAACAGUAGAUGGAAACCAUGGCUCCCAGCCUGUGCUGCCCUUUGUCUGCUUUGGAUGCCAGAAGUAUCCAUGGAUAUUACUGCUGAGAGAGUAAGUUUGUUUUAACUUUCUGGAGAGGCUGACUUACCAACCCUGAUUUCCUAAUGCACAAAUAGACACUUAGAGUCUCAGAGAGGCAGCAUGUGUCAGAGAAUGAAUGUGGGCUUUGGAGUCCAACAGACCUGGGCAUAAAUCCAGACUGUUCCACUUGCAGGCCAUGAGACCAGAGUGUUACUAUUUUGUGGCCUGCCUCAUAUCCCUCUCUUUUGGGAGCUGCAC
rnacentral:lncRNA from 13 species